UACAGAGGUGGCAAGCGUUGUUCGGAAUUACUGGGCGUAAAGGGCGCGUAGGCGGCCUUCUAAGUCAGACGUGAAAUCCCCCGGCUUAACCUGGGAACUGCGUCUGAUACUGGAAGGCUUGAGUGCGGGAGAGGGAUGUGGAAUUCCAGGUGUAGCGGUGAAAUGCGUAGAUAUCAGGAGGAACACCGGUGGCGAAGGCGGAUCUCUGGGCCUUGCCUGACGCUGAGGCGCGAAAGCUAGGGGAGCGAACAGG
rnacentral:rRNA from 1 species